AUUUUCACUCCGAUACUAAAUGUGUCAUCGUGGCAGCUGAGUGGAAGCCUUUCCAUCAGUCCCGGCAGCACUCGAGAGUCAGUAAGCGGCGUGUUCAGGACCCGAAACAAAAUGCCUGGCAAUGCUUCAUUCACACUCAGCUGAAGGCAGAUUCGAUUCUGAUCUUUUGUUUAGAAUAGCGAAGUGAAAACAUUCUCUUUACUUUCACAGUAGUGUCUUUUCUGCCUGAAUAGUGGACUGCUGAGCCAGUUCUAAGUACAAAGAGGAAAGCACUGUCAAGAAAAGCAAAAUCCAGCACAUUCUUAAAAUGUUUGAAGUGCAUUGACUACCCCGAGAUCAACAGGAACUGCACAUCAAGAAAAGCAGUGCAAACGACUGUCCAUGCUGUCACGGAACCUGUAUCACUGAGGGAGAGCACACAGUGAGAAACUGCAACUACUUGCUUGAGCCUUUACUGUCCUUUUAAAGCAGAUCCAAAGCCUAAAGAGCCAUGAUGUUCACCACUCGGUGAGAUUUUUAUGUCUGUAACAUUGGAAGAAAACUGCAAAUGUGACUUGAGAUUACAUCUAAAAUAAAUGCUAGUUCUGAU
rnacentral:lncRNA from 1 species